rnacentral:rRNA from 1 species
AGAGUUUGAUCAUGGCUCAGAUUGAACGCUGGCGGCAUGCCUUACACAUGCAAGUCGAACGGUAACGCGGGGGCAACCCUGGCGACGAGUGGCGAACGGGUGAGUAGCGCAUCGGAACGUGCCCAGUAGUGGGGGAUAGCUCGGCGAAAGCCGGAUUAAUACCGCAUACGACCUACGGGUGAAAGCGGGGGACCGCAAGGCCUCGCGCUAUUGGAGCGGCCGAUGCCCGAUUAGCUAGUUGGUGGGGUAAAGGCCUACCAAGGCGACGAUCGGUAGCUGGUCUGAGAGGAUGAUCAGUCACACUGGGACUGAGACACGGCCCAGACUCCUACGGGAGGCAGCAGUGGGGAAUUUUGGACAAUGGGCGAAAGCCUGAUCCAGCCAUGCCGCGUGAGUGAAGAAGGCCUUCGGGUUGUAAAGCUCUUUCGGCCGGAACGAAAUCAUUCGGGCUAAUACCCCGAAUGGCUGACGGUACCGGAAGAAGAAGCACCGGCUAACUACGUGCCAGCAGCCGCGGUAAUACGUAGGGUGCAGGCGUUAAUCGGAAUUACUGGGCGUAAAGCGUGCGCAGGCGGCUUCCUAAGUCAGAUGUGAAAUCCCCGGGCUCAACCUGGGAACUGCGUUUGAAACUAGGAGGCUAGAGUGCGGCAGAGGGGGGUGGAAUUCCACGUGUAGCAGUGAAAUGCGUAGAUAUGUGGAGGAACACCGAUGGCGAAGGC